rnacentral:rRNA from 1 species
AUUGGACGCUGGCGGCAGGCCUAACACAUGCAAGUCGAACGGUAACAGGAAGAAGCUUGCCUCUUUGCUGACGAGUGGCGGACGGGUGAGUAAUGUCUGGGAAACUGCCUGAUGGAGGGGGAUAACUACUGGAAACGGUAGCUAAUACCGCAUAACGUCGCAAGACCAAAGAGGGGGACCUUCGGGCCUCUUGCCAUCGGAUGUGCCCAGAUGGGAUUAGCUAGUAGGUGGGGUAACGGCUCACCUAGGCGACGAUCCCUAGCUGGUCUGAGAGGAUGACCAGCCACACUGGAACUGAGACACGGUCCAGACUCCUACGGGAGGCAGCAGUGGGGAAUAUUGCACAAUGGGCGCAAGCCUGAUGCAGCCAUGCCGCGUGUAUGAAAAAGGCCCUCGGGUUGUAAAGUACUUUCAGCGGGGAGGAAGGGAGUAAAGUUAAUACCUUUGCUCAUUGACGUUACCCGCAGAAGAAGCACCGGCUAACUCCGUG